GACGAACCGUACGAACGUUAUUCGGAAUCACUGGGCUUAAAGGGUGCGUAGGCGGUUCGUUAAGUCUGUCGUGAAAUCCCCGGGCUCAACCUGGGAAUGGCGAUGGAUACUGGCGAGCUAGAGUGUGUCAGAGGAUGGUGGAAUUCCCGGUGUAGCGGUGAAAUGCGUAGAGAUCGGGAGGAACACCAGUGGCGAAGGCGGCCUUCUGGACCAAUACUGACGCUCAUGCACGAAAGCGUGGGGAGCAAACAGG
rnacentral:rRNA from 1 species